rnacentral:rRNA from 1 species
UACGUAGGGGGCAAGCGUUGUCCGGAUUUAUUGGGCGUAAAGAGCGUGUAGGCGGCCAGACAGGUCAGCUGUGAAAACUCGAGGCUCAACCUCGAGACGUCGGUUGAAACCGUCUGGCUAGAGUCCGGAAGAGGAGAGUCGAAUUCCCGGUGUAGCGGUGAAAUGCGCAGAUAUCGGGAAGAACACCCGUGGCGAAGGCGGCUCUCUGGGACGGUACUGACGCUGAGACGCGAAAGCGUGGGGAGCGAACAGG